UGAGAUGGAUUUGUCUAGUGAUGAUCCCGCUAGCGACGGAGGAGAGCGUGGGGAUAGCGAAUGAGUCCUGAUCCUACUCCUCAUGAUUGUGUAUUUUCUGGUGAGCCUGACUCACCAUACCAGGUAGAAAAGCCUGCAGAAGCUACCGACGUUAGGGAGACCAUCAAUGUAGGACUCGAUUCAACGAAUCCAGACAAAUUGCAGGAGGCAAACGUGGAUUUUGGGAAUAGAGA